UACAGAGGUCUCAAGCGUUGUUCGGAUUCAUUGGGCGUAAAGGGUGCGUAGGCGGCGCGGUAAGUCGGGUGUGAAAUCUGGGCUUAACUCCGAAACUGCAUUCGAUACUGCCGUGCUUGAGGACUGGAGAGGAGACUGGAAUUUACGGUGUAGCGGUGAAAUGCGUAGAUAUCGUAAAGGGAAGACCAGUGGCGAAGGCGGGUCUCUGG
rnacentral:rRNA from 1 species